GGCGGACCAAGGGGCGGGAGGAAGCCUCCUUGAAAGUAUCCCUGUUCCUGAAAUUUAGCAAGUGAAUUCUGCCGCCUUCACUGCUACUUCUUACAUCUGGAAUGUCUUUCUUCCCUGUUCAACUGCGCCCUCAAUUAACUUUCACUUUGUUUGGAAUGACUGUACAAAGAAGCUCUUUGAGACAACAGGACUAGCUUUGGAGGAUGGAUGCAGUUACACAAGGCCCUGUGUUUAGAAGAGCUUCUCAGCUAAUGCUUUGCUGUCAUUGUCUUGAAAUCUUAAUUUUUGAACAAGAGGCUAUGGGCCUGGUGGGCAUAGA
rnacentral:lncRNA from 1 species